CCUACGGGGGGCAGCAGUGAGGAAUAUUGGUCAAUGGACGAGAGUCUGAACCAGCCAAGUAGCGUGAAGGAUGACUGCCCUAUGGGUUGUAAACUUCUUUUAUAUGGGAAUAAAACGUUCCACGUGUGGGAUUUUGUAUGUACCAUAUGAAUAAGGAUCGGCUAACUCCGUGCCAGCAGCCGCGGUAAUACGGAGGAUCCGAGCGUUAUCCGGAUUUAUUGGGUUUAAAGGGAGCGUAGGUGGAUUGUUAAGUCAGUUGUGAAAGUUUGCGGCUCAACCGUAAAAUUGCAGUUGAAACUGGCAGUCUUGAGUACAGUAGAGGUGGGCGGAAUUCGUGGUGUAGCGGUGAAAUGCUUAGAGAUCACGAAGAACUCCGAUUGCGAAGGCAGUUCACUGGACUGCAACUGACACUGAGGCUCGAAAGUGUGGGUAUCAAACAGGAUUAGAUACCCCUGUAGUC
rnacentral:rRNA from 1 species